GGCCGGUUAGCUCAGCUGGUUAGAGCGUGGUGCUAAUAAAGCCAAAGUCAUGGGUUCAAGCCCCAUACUGGCCA
rnacentral:tRNA from 2 species